UUUUUUUCUUUUUCUCUUCUUCUUUUUCCUCUUCUUCUUCUUCUCCUCCCCAACGCCCCACAGCUCCUCACUAUAGCCCUUACCGCAGCCACCUCCUCUUUUCUUCUUCUUCUUCUUCUUCUUCUUCUUCUUCUUCUGCUUCUCUUCCUCUGCUUCUCUUCUUCUCCUCUUCUUCCCUUCUCCUCCCCGACGCCCCACACAUGAACUCCUCUAUUUCCUCCUACACGAAACAGAGGUGCAGCCCUAGCUGCUGCAGCUAUCUCUCUUUCCUCUCCCUCUUCUCUCUCUUCUUCUUCUUCUUUUCUUCUCUUCUCCCUCUUCUUCCUAUCUUCUUCUCCCCAUGCCCCACAGCUCCUC
rnacentral:lncRNA from 1 species